rnacentral:lncRNA from 1 species
GAUGAGGAACUGGAAAGAGAGGAGAAGUUAUUUCUGCUUGGGGAAGAAGUGGCCCAGUAUGACAGGACAUGCAAGGUUAGCUGAGGCCUGUGGAAAAAAUAUGGACACGAGGAUUAUAGAUACUCUCAUAUCUGAGACGGGCUUUGCUAGAAUUGCUGUCAGUGGAGCUAUGGCUGGGUUGUGGCCCAUUUGUGAAUUUAUGACCUUCAAUUUCUCUGUGCAAGCCACUGACCAGGUUAUAAAUUCAGCUGCCAAGACCUACUGUAUGCUGGGGGGCCUCCAGCCUGUGCUC